AUGGGUGCUUCUUUAUAUAACUCCCACUCAAAACAUCGGAAUAAUCAGUGGGGUUUGCUGAACUGUGAUACGAGCUAAAAUUCAACAUUACGAUCAAAAACAACUUUAAUGGACAGAAAUUGCUGCACUGAUUCUAGGAAAGGUUCCAUCUUCUUGAGUUGCCAACCCUUCGUGCACCCGUCUUCUCCAACUCCGCAAAGUGGAAAAAGGGUUUGACAUCGCUAAUGUUUCUCCUUGCUGGGCUUACCGGCUCUUUUUCAUUUGAACCGUACAACAGACAACGUGAAAUCGAAGGAAAUAGUUGAAUACCGAGGACAGAAAAAGAGAACAGUUGAAAAAAAUAAGGAUGGGAACUUUUAUCGCCAAGUUUACACGGAAUUUACGGGGAAUUUGAACGUAGAUGCUGCACUUUUUAAUCCGCACUUGGUCGCUUGGCACAACGGUAACAAACGUGUUCUUCAUACCAUACUACUGCUGAAUUUCCAAAGCAUGACCAUAGAAAUACGGAUG